rfam:Bombyx mori DNA, contig: Bm_scaf24_contig16254, strain: p50T/Dazao, build 2, whole genome shotgun sequence.
UUAACUCUAAUUUGUAUGGAGUUGGAACAGUUUCUCUUCGUUUGCCGCUAGGGGCGCUGGUCCAACUCCAUACAAAUUUGAGUUA